CAGCAGACACAUUCCAGCCAAUCAGCAGAUCCUCCCUCCCAGACCUUCCCACCUCCUGGACAGCAUCCAUUUUACAUUCAUUGUGAAGCUGCAUUCUUAGUGAGCUGUCCAGGAGGUGGGAGGGUCUGGGAGGGAGGGUCUGCUGCUGAUUGGCUGGAAUGUGUCUGCUG